GGUGGUGUGGUGUAAUGGUAGCACGUGACGUUGUGGUUUAUCUUUAAUUGGAUUUCUCACGAAUGAUUCCGUUUCAAUCUGGGUUCGAUUCCCAGCACCGCCA
rnacentral:tRNA from 1 species